AGUGUAGGGUUCCUAGCGAGCCCAACCUCCCACCCGUGUUUACUGUACCUUAGUUGCUUCGGCGGGCCCGCCAUUCAUGGCCGCCGGGGGCUCUCAGCCCCGGGCCCGCGCCCGCCGGAGACACCACGAACUCUGUCUGAUCUAGUGAAGUCUGAGUUGAUUGUAUCGCAAUCAGUUAAAACUUUCAACAAUGGAUCUCUUGGUUCCGGCAUCGAUGAAGAACGCAGCGAAAUGCGAUAACUAGUGUGAAUUGCAGAAUUCCGUGAAUCAUCGAGUCUUUGAACGCACAUUGCGCCCCCUGGUAUUCCGGGGGGCAUGCCUGUCCGAGCGUCAUUGCUGCCCAUCAAGCACGGCUUGUGUGUUGGGUCGUCGUCCCCUCUCCGGGGGGGACGGGCCCCAAAGGCAGCGGCGGCACCGCGUCCGAUCCUCGAGCGUAUGGGGCUUUGUCACCCGCUCUGUAGGCCCGGCCGGCGCUUGCCGAACGCAAAUCAAUCUUUUUCCAGGUUGACCUCGGAUCAGGUAGGGAUACCCGCUGAACUUAAGCAUAUCA
rnacentral:rRNA from 1 species